GCGUAUACUAAGUUAGGAAAGGGGAAGAGGUGGCAACGGAUCUCCACAGGACUAAAAGUGGGAGAGGAGGCCACACUGCCUAGCAACCACCCCCAGGCACGUGCACUAAUGACGUCAUCUCUGCCACCUCUGACACCAACCUCUGACCCCUAGCUACAUGGGGGAAGAAAGUGGUAAACCAGCAUAAAGAGAAAUAACCUUAGGAAUUCUGGGAAGUCUAGUAGGAGAUCAUGUCCAAACAAGCUUCAUUCCUAGAUCCUAAACCUCAAAUCCCCUUAUUUCCCGCUUAAAGCUGAAUUUUCUCCCUAUUUUUUCAGGAGAUUCAUCUUGGACAGGAAAUAAGAGGUAGAGAUUAAAGUCGAAAGGCGGGGUCAGUCUGGUUGUGUGCAUAUAGGGUCUCUUCCCCACCAGGGAAGGAUUUCCACAGCCCCAUCACUGUCCUGGCUGUCCCCGGCAUCCUAACACUCCCCCCCUCCUCCUCCAUUCCAGGGCGGAGUCUCCAGAGUUGAAAUCAGGACAAGGCAAGAGGGAGAGUUAUAUAAUCAAGAGAAGCAGAAAGAAGAAAAGAGACAGACACUAGGAAACAAGUAGAAUGACACAGAUUCUGGAAGACUAUUUGAAGAAGCAUUAAAAAGUUCUGAUUCUGCCAGUGAAAACCAGGGAGAUUCUAAUCACCCUCGGGGAAGAAAGCCAAGGCUUCUUGAGGCCCAGAGGAAGGAAUAGCACCAAGAAUCCCUCCUUAACAGAUGAAGCAGGAAACCACAGCUCCACCCAUUACCACCUGGGAUCGGAGGGUGCCAGCUGGGAUAGGAACCCAGGCCGCAACCCCCUUCCACUCCAUUGGCGGUCUGUCGGUGAUGUCACCAGAAUGUCCUUAAGCGGAUUGGGCGGCUGGGACAGCUUGAGAAUCUGGCCCCCGACUCUGCCUCCAGUUACUCUAGCAACAAUGCAAGCAGUAGUGGAAGAGUAAGACAUGAGCUCAGUCCAGAGCCCGGAGUCUCACCGUGGCUCCGCCCCCCUCUCCCUCCCCUCCGGGAAGGAAUAGUUUGCUCCUCCCAGACAAAACACUCG